UUGUUCAACAAACUUCCAAAAACUGUAGUUAAUGAUACAUAUGUAAAACCUGUAGUUAAUACAUUAGUAAUAAAGGCUGAGAACCAGUUAGGUCAUCUACAUCAUGCAGAGUAUUUACAGUCCGGUCAAGUUCUGUUUCCGUCUUAUUACUCUGUUCAAGAACUUCUUACCAUAUACCCAGUAGAGACCUGAAUGUAAAAUACACAACUCAGGAAUACAAAACAAUUGUUUAUUAGUAAAUGUACCUAAAAGAUAUGCAGAGUUUAACCACUACAUUAAGCUCAUCACCUCCAAAGAGGUCGCUAGCCAGGCUAGCAUCCAGGAGGGUUUUGUGAGCCUUUGUGACUCCCUGGAACAAAUUUGCUGGUCUGAGCUGUCAGUUUCAGACUCUCUGAUUUUUCCUCUUGGGCUUUAUGCCUUUCCAUGUUGAUGUUUCUCCAUGAUGUUUCAAGUUGAGUGCUUGAGUAAUCCCCAUCUCAGCAAUCCUACCUUAAUCUCUAAAGUUUUGCAAGGAGAGAAGCUUAAAAUUGCAAAUUUUCUCACUGCUUUUUCUCACAACUUCAGUUUCCUCAGUCUGAAUCAAGCUAGUCUGAGCACAGCGAGCAUGUAUUGCAACUGAACCUUGGGUCCUGGGAGGUGAGGAACAGUACGAAAAGGUUUACAGAGAGUGGAUCACAAUACCUCUUGAGUAAUUUGAACUUGAUUGUAACAGAUCUUUGAGGGUGGAAAGAAAAUAAAAGAUCUUGUGAUAUUUUGUUGCAGAACCAAGAGCUCAAAAAACAAAACAAACAAACAAAAAAAACAAACAGCCAAACUAUUUUAGAAAGGAGAGCUGUAGGGAAAAAACAUACAAACACUGGGAAGCUGUAUAGAUAAAGAUCUACUUUGUAACCUCCUUUUUACUGAUGCUGUGAGGAAUGCAAAUCCGAAGGUGUGAGGAUUAAGAAUGCACACACUUUAACUGCAGCUUUAUGUUUUGCAGACUUCAAAAACUGACAAAAAUUAUCAUCCUAGUUUCGAUGGUUUGUGUGGUUAAAUAGAUUUUUCUGUAACUUAUCCUUCCUUUGCUUUCCACAGUUAUCAAAUAAUUGGUAAGUGAGUGCUUGGAGUGCCUUAGAUGAACAGCAUUGUGCACAAACAGGAGUAUGUACGUGUAAAAGGUAGAGAAUUUUUGUUUGUUUUUACAUGAAGGACAAUUUAAUGCAGGGUGACUCAAUCUGACUGAGCACGCAUAGAAACAUCUGUGUUAGAAAAGGCCUUCUAGAUGACCAGGUUCUGACCAUCCCUGCUUCCCCAGGGACGGAGAGCUCCACCAUGUCGUGCUCCGUGCCCCAAAGGGCCUCCAGCCACCACACCACCCGCGGGGCCUCCCCGUGAAGGAGCCAGGCCCGGUGCGCCCCGUCCCUGCUUUUACCCCUCCCUCCCUAGCAACAGCCGCGCCCCCGCCUGAUUGGCUGGCGCGGCCGGGCGGGCUCCGCCGCGGCGCUGCAGCCCAGCGCCCCCAGGCGGCAGAGGUAGGGCCGGAGGCGGCAGCGUCCCGCGCUCCCAGCGGCUGCCAAGGGCGCGGCGCUGAGGAGAGAGGAGAGGAGAGGAGAGGAGAGGAGGGGAGGGAGGGGGGCGGCCCGUGUGAGGCGGGGCCUCCUCCGGAUUCACCUGCUGGGGACCAAAACUGGAUGAUGAUGUGAUUCAAGACUUCCUAUGGAUGGACUGUUGUUGUAAAAUUACAGACAAGGUAAUGGCUAUCGCUCCAACACAUUAUGUAUGGCAGCGAGAACGUUCUGUGCACCACAGUGGAGCUGUGAGGAGCUACAACAAAGAUGAAGAACAGCUGCCACGAGGACCUAGUAAUACGCCUGUGGACUGUUUGCUUUGCGGUAGGAAAGGAAGAUUUGUGCGACUAGGAUUAUCUUCCUCCUCCUCCUCAACUGGCACACUGGAGAUGACUGAAUUACAUUCAGCCCAGGAUAUGAAGGACACCUUUCCAGCUGAAAAAAUGCUGGUUGACUCUCCUGUUUCUUAUGCCCAAGGUAUAGUUUAAUAUUGCAAAUAAUUUUCAAAUAGCUUAUGUAACUGAAACAGUAUUUGCUGUUUAGACUACUGUAGGGACUACUAUGUGCUUCUUGGUGUGACAAGACCCAACCUCUGUGUUUGUGGAAGCAUCUACUAAAAAUGCAGUUACCAUUUUCUUUCUUUAUUUUGGGUAAACUUUUAUACUUGGACAUCGUGGUAUCAGGAAAACCACCUGCUACCACAGAACUACUACCAUAUCUGAACUAAUGUUUGCAAAAUAUUCCUUGUUCUCCUUUUCUGUGCCACAAAUACCAUCUUGCUUCAGCCAAACAUUUAAUUGACACUUUCACAUCUUGUUUCCUCCUAGAAGUACCAACUGCAUUACACAUUGAGUCUGUUCAACUACUCUAGCUAAUUUUGUGUUCUAGUCUGUUUAGGCAUUUGUUACUAUUUUCAUAUUAUAAAUUAAACUGGGAAUCCUAUUUGAAAAGCAUUUGGCAAGAAGAAACAGUAAAAAUACUGGUGUGUCUGUCACAUGAAUGGAGUGUGUGUUACGUGAGUUGUAAGUGCUCUUCUCGAAAGUUGUGUUUUUAGAAAGGGCAGGCUCCUCAAUUACAGUCGUCAGUUAGUAUGUACAUUAAAUCAGCACUUCACACUCUCUUUUAAGUGUAUCUCAGUCUUUGACAAUUUAUGGAAGAUAUCCUUUUAAGGUUGGGGGUAUGUGUAGAAAAUACAACAGUCUACUGUGAAAAUUGUUUAAUGUAAUAGAAUCUCGCAUAUUGAACUACUCAAAGUAGUCUCCUGAGCCUUUGUAGGAGAAGCCUCUAUUACAUACAGCAGUUACUUUAAACGUCUAUUAUUUAAUUUACUGUUAAGAGUGGAACACACUUGAGAUGUAAAUUUCCUGUGUAAGGCCUCAGUUAUGCAGAUAAAAUGCAGUGUUCUUGGUAUACACGUUUAAUAUUGGUUAG